rnacentral:rRNA from 1 species
UACGUAGGGUGCAAGCGUUGUCCGGAAUUAUUGGGCGUAAAGAGCUCGUAGGCGGUUUGUCACGUCUGCUGUGAAAUCCCGAGGCUCAACCUCGGGCCUGCAGUGGGUACGGGCAGACUGGAAUGCGGUAGGGGAGAUUGGAAUUCCUGGUGUAGCGGUGGAAUGCGCAGAUAUCAGGAGGAACACCGAUGGCGAAGGCAGAUCUCUGGGCCGUAACUGACGCUGAGGAGCGAAAGCGUGGGAGCGAACAGG